UACGAAGGGGGCUAGCGUUGCUCGGAAUUACUGGGCGUAAAGCGUGCGCAGGCGGUUUGCUAAGACAGGUGUGAAAUCCCCGGGCUUAACCUGGGAACUGCGCUUGUAACUGGCAAGCUGGAGUGUGGCAGAGGGGGGUGGAAUUCCACGUGUAGCAGUGAAAUGCGUAGAUAUCUGGAGGAACACCGGUGGCGAAGGCGGCGUUCUGGACGGCAUCUGACACUGAGAAACGAAAGCCAGGGGAGCAAACGGG
rnacentral:rRNA from 1 species